GUGCGACACCCGUCGUCAGGUCCAGGUCGCUAUUUAUUGAACUUUUCGAUCGCAGUGUUCUAGGUGAGCCCCCUCAACUGACAUGGAGGUGGAACUUAUGACCUAUUCUGCAGUCAGUCACCAGGGGGAGCUCUACUUGCUUCGGCUUCACUUGAGUGUGAAUUAUGGAGAAAAGACUUUUGGAUCUGGAGGACCAUCCCUGACACACAGAGGCUGGAGUGUGAUAACAAAGAAGCAUCAAUUUAUCUGUAUUAACCUGAACAGCCUGCAACAGAAUAACCAGGGAACUUUUUCCCAUUAAAAAAAAAUAAAAACA